CCUACGGGAGGCAGCAGUGGGGAAUAUUGCACAAUGGGGGAAACCCUGAUGCAGCGACGCCGCGUGAGCGAAGAAGUAUUUCGGUAUGUAAAGCUCUAUCAGCAGGGAAGAAGAAUGACGGUACCUGACUAAGAAGCUCCGGCUAAAUACGUGCCAGCAGCCGCGGUAAUACGUAUGGAGCAAGCGUUAUCCGGAUUUACUGGGUGUAAAGGGAGCGUAGGCGGUGCUAUAAGUCUGAUGUGAAAGCCCGGGGCUCAACCGCGGGACUGCAUUGGAAACUGUAGGACUGGAGUGUCGGAGGGGUAAGUGGAAUUCCUAGUGUAGCGGUGAAAUGCGUAGAUAUUAGGAGGAACACCGGUGGCGAAGGCGGCGUACUGGACGACAACUGACGCUGAGGCUCGAAAGCGUGGGGAGCAAACAGGAUUAGAUACCCCGGUAGUC
rnacentral:rRNA from 1 species